rnacentral:rRNA from 1 species
AGUGAACGCUGGCGGUAGGCCUAACACAUGCAAGUCGAACGGCAGCACAGUAAGAGCUUGCUCUUACGGGUGGCGAGUGGCGGACGGGUGAGGAAUACAUCGGAAUCUACUUUUUCGUGGGGGAUAACGUAGGGAAACUUACGCUAAUACCGCAUACGACCUACGGGUGAAAGCAGGGGAUCUUCGGACCUUGCGCGAUUGAAUGAGCCGAUGUCGGAUUAGCUAGUUGGCGGGGUAAAGGCCCACCAAGGCGACGAUCCGUAGCUGGUCUGAGAGGAUGAUCCGCCACACUGGAACUGAGACACGGUCCAGACGCCUACGGGAGGCAGCAGUGGGGAAUAUUGGACAAUGGGCGCAAGCCUGAUCCAGCCAUACCGCGUGGGUGAAGAAGGCCUUCGGGUUGUAAAGCCCUUUUGUUGGGAAAGAAAAGCAGCAGGUUAAUACCCCGCUGUUCUGACGGUACCCAAAGAAUAAGCACCGGCUAACUUCGU